AACGAACGCUGGCGGCAUGCCUAACACAUGCAAGUCGAACGAGACCUUCGGGUCUAGUGGCGAACGUGUCCGUAACGUGUGGGAAUCUGCCCUUGGGUUCGGAAUAACAGUUGGAAACGACCGCUAAUACCGGAUGAUGAUGUAAGUCCAAAGAUUUAUCGCCCAGGGAUGAUCCCGCGUAGGAUUCCCUAGUUGGUGGGGUAAAGCCCUACCAAGGCUACGAUCCUUAGCUGGUCUGAGAGGAUGAUCCGCCACCCUGGGACUGAGACACGGCCCAGACUCCUACGGGAGGAAGCAGUGGGGAAUAUUGGACAAUGGGCGAAAGCCGGAUCCAGCAAUGCCGCGUGAGUGAUGAAGGCCUUAGGGUUGUAAAGCUCUUUUACACGGGAUGAUAAUGACAGUACCGGGAGAAUAAGCCCCGGCUAACUCCGUG
rnacentral:rRNA from 1 species